ACACAAUUUCUCAAUAAUACAUGUAGGCAUCAUACAGAUAUACACAGAUGCAUCGCAAUCAUAUUUAACAUCACAGAAAUAUUUUCAAUAAAGGCUUGUUCUCGAGAUUCAUUUUUAAAUGGGAAUUAGAUAUAAUCAUUCACGCAUUUCAUUUCAACUUAAUUAGAAUUCCCAAAUAAAUUUUGAAAUGCAAAUUCACUCACAAGUGUCAAAAAUCUGGAUUUCGGGUGCACUCGGACUAAUAGUCUUCAGGCGUAAUUCCUUUGCCUUUUUCGGACGUCUCACUACCUAGCUUGUUUCCUUGAUUUCUUCACUUUUUCUUUGAAUUUUCACCUAGGUUUUCUUGUUUUUCCCUUUGUUCUUCCUUUGUUCUUGUUGCUGGUUGCCUAGGCCGAAUAUGGUGAGAGAAUUAGGGAUUUAAUGGGCUGAUUUCUAUAGAAAAUAAUAAAAUAA
rnacentral:lncRNA from 1 species